AUUAUAAUAUCUUAAAACGUAAUUUGCGACGCGAUACGGUUUCUUCGACGCUUGCGUUUCGCGACUUUUUUUUAUGGGGCCCCAUACGCGCUUUGCGUCGACGCGAUUCGAUUUCUUUUUGCUGCGGUAUAUACGCGUGAAGAAAGAAGAUCAAAGAAUAGGUGAGUAAGAAUGUAUUGUUAAUCACAUUAUGCAUUGUUACGUACAUUGGUUGUUUUAGAUUACGUGUGACGUCACGAAGCAGUGAUGACGUAACAGAAGAACCUGCUUCAACAUGGGUAUGUGACGUCACACAGGAUCCCGCCGCUGCUUCUCUCACUCGCAAA